rnacentral:rRNA from 1 species
UACGUAGGGGGCUAGCGUUGUCCGGAAUCAUUGGGCGUAAAGAGCGCGUAGGCGGCUAGAUAAGUCCGGUGUGAAAGUCACAGGCUCAACCUGUGAAUGCCGCUGGAAACUGUCUGGCUAGAGUCCGGAAGGGGCGAGUGGAAUUCCUGGUGUAGCGGUGAAAUGCGCAGAUAUCAGGAGGAACACCAAUGGCGAAGGCAGCACUCUGGGACGGUACUGACGCUGAGACGCGAAAGCGUGGGGAGCAAACAGG